CAGAGUUUGAUCCUGGCUCAGAUUGAACGCUGGCGGCAUGCUUUACACAUGCAAGUCGAACGGCAGCACGGGGGCAAACCCUGGGGGCGAGUGGCGAACGGGGGAGGAAUGCACCGGAACGUAUCUUCAAGUGGGGGAUAACGCAUCGAAAGGGGUGCUAAUACCGCAUAAUCUCUGAGGAGAAAAGCAGGGGAUCGCAAGACCUUGCGCUUUUGGAGCGGCCGAUGCCUGAUUAGCUUUUUGGGGAGGUAAAAGCUCACCAAGGCUCCGAUCAGUAGCUGGUCUGAGAGGACGACCAGCCACACUGGGACUGAGACACGGCCCAGACUCCUACGGGAGGCAGCAGUGGGGAAUUUUGGACAAUGGGGGCAACCCUGAUCCAGCCAUGCCGCGUGAGUGAAGAAGGCCUUCGGGUUUUAAAGCUCUUUCAGCCGGAACGAAACGGUCACGGUUAAUACCCGUGACUACUGACGGUACCGGAAGAAGAAGCACCGGCUAACUACGUGCCAGCAGCCGCGGUAAUACGUAGGGGGCGAGCGUUAAUCGGAAUUACUGGGCGUAAAGCGUGCGCAGGGGGUUUUUUAAGUCAGAUGUGAAAUCCCCGGGCUUAACCUGGGAACUGCGUUUGAAACUGCAAGGCUAGAGUGUGGCAGAGGGGGGGGGAAUUCCGCGUGUAGCAGUGAAAUGCGUAGAGAUGUGGAGGAACACCGAUGGCGAAGGCAGCCCCCUGGGUCAACACUGACGCUCAGGCACGAAAGCAUGGGGAGCAAACAGGAUUAGAUACCCUGGUAGUCCAUGCCCUAAACGAUGUCAACUAGUUUUCGGGUCUUAACGGGCUUGGUAACGUAGCUAACGCGUGAAGUUGACCGCCUGGGGAGUACGAUCGCAAGAUUAAAACUCAAAGGAAUUGACGGGGGCCCGCACAAGCGGUA
rnacentral:rRNA from 1 species